rnacentral:rRNA from 1 species
GAUGAACGCUGGCGGCGUGCCUAAUACAUCCUAGUCGAGCGAACAGACGAGGAGCUUGCUCUUCUGACGUUAGCGGCGGACGGGUGCGUAACACGUGGGUACCCUACCUAUAAGACUGGGAUAACUUCGGGAAACCGGAGCUAAUACCGGAUAAUAUAUUGAACCGCAUGUUUCAUUAGUUUAUGACGGUUUUGCUGUCACUUAUAGAUGUAUCCGCGCCGCAUUAGCUAGUUGGUAAGGUAACGGCUUACCAAGGCGACGAUGCGUAGCCGACCUGAGAGGGUGAUCGGCCACACUGGAACUGAGACACGGUCCAGACUCCUACGGGAGGCAGCAGUAGGGAAUCUUCCGCAAUGGGCGAAAGCCUGACGGAGCAACGCCGCGUGAGUGAUGAAGGUCUUCGGAUCGUAAAACUCUGUUAUUAGGGAAGAACAAAUGUGUAAGUAACUAUGCACGUCUUGACGGUACCUAAUCAGAAAGCCACGGCUAACUACGUG